UGAGUGAUGAGGAAGAGGAUGAUGAUGGCUGUGACCUUUUUGCUGACUCUGAGAAGGAGGAGAAAGAUAUUGAGGACAUUGAAGAAAAUACUAGACCUAAAAGAAGCAGACCUACAUCGUUUGCAGAUGAGCUGGCUGCCCGCAUCAAGGGGGAUGCCGUGGGCCGAGUGGACGAGGAGCCGACAAAUGAAGAGGAUAACUUAUUCGCACCCCCCAAGCUGACCGACGAGGACUUCUCGCCAUUUGGCUCUGGAGGUGGCCUGUUCAGUGGGGGCAAGGGGCUCUUUGAUGAUGAGGACGAGGAGAGUGACCUCUUCACGGAAGCCCCCCAGGAUCGGCAAGCUGGAGCCUCUGUUAAGGAGGAGUCUUCAUCAUCCAAACCUGGAAAGAAAAUCCUAGCAGGAGCUGUUUCUGUAUUUUUAGGAGACACGGAUGUGCUGCCUCCGUUCCAUCACUGAAGGAGCCACAGAAGCCUGAGCAGCCCACUCCAAGGAAAAGCCCCUAUGGUCCCCCUCCCACUGGCCUGUUUGAUGAUGAUGAUGGUGAUGAUGAUAACGACUUUUUC
rnacentral:lncRNA from 1 species